GACUUCGUAGCUCAGCUGGUAGAGCAACUGACUCUUAAUCAGUGGGUCCAGGGUUCGAUUCCCUGCGGGGUCA
rnacentral:tRNA from 1 species